UACGUAGGGGGCAAGCGUUGUCCGGAAUUAUUGGGCGGAAAGAGCUCGUAGGCGGCUUAGUAAGUCGGCGGUGAAAUACCGAGGCUCAACCUCGGCACUGCCGUCGAUACUGCUAUGGCUAGAGUUUGGUAGAGGAGAACGGAAUUCCUGGUGUAGCGGUGAAAUGCGCAGAUAUCAGGAGGAACACCGGUGGCGAAGGCGGCAUCCUGGACCAAUAUUGACGCUGAGGAGCGAAAGCCAGGGGAGCAAACGGG
rnacentral:rRNA from 1 species